rnacentral:rRNA from 1 species
UACGAAGGGGGGCUAGCGUUGUUCGGAUUUACUGGGCGUAAAGCGCACGUAGGCGGAUUGUUAAGUGAGAGGUGAAAAUCCCGGAGCUCAACUCCGGAACUGCCUUUCCAUACUGGCAAAUCUAGAGUCCGGAAGAGGUGAGUGGAACUCCUAGUGUAGAGGUGGAAUUCGUAGAUAUUAGGAAGAACACCAGUGGCGAAGGCGGCUCACUGGUCCGGUACUGACGCUGAGGUGCGAAAGCGUGGGGGAGCAAACAGG